CAAGAAAAGAGAUUCAAGGAAAAAGAUGUUCUGCAACACUUGUGCAUUUCACAUCCUUAAAAUCCUGUUAGCAUCCCCUCUCACAGAGUCUUGCACGACUAUGACACACCUAGGUGCCCUAGGGAAAAUUAUUUUUUAUUUUCU